rnacentral:rRNA from 1 species
UACGAGGGGGGCAAGCGUUAUCCGGAAUUAUUGGGCGUAAAGAGCUCGUAGGCGGUUUGUCGCGUCUGCCGUGAAAGUCCGGGGCUCAACUCCGGAUCUGCGGUGGGUACGGGCAGACUAGAGUGCAGUAGGGGAGACUGGAAUUCCUGGUGUAGCGGUGAAAUGCGCAGAUAUCAGGAGGAACACCGAUGGCGAAGGCAGGUCUCUGGGCUGUAACUGACGCUGAGGAGCGAAAGCAUGGGGAGCGAACAGG